GCCGAGCUCACUAGCGAGAGCUUGUCACCCGAGCGGGGGCUUUAAGGUGGGUGUGGACGCUGUACUGGCGCUGUGGGCCUGGCUGGAGUGUGCUAUUGCUGGCCCGCCCGUUCCAAGUUGAGUAGUGUACCGGCGGGGCUUGUGCGAAAGCUGGGGCUCACGGGCCAUGAUGUGGCAGGCACUGCGUAAGGCUGGCCUCACAGAGCAGCGACAACUGCCCGCUUCCAACGGUGGAAGGAUAACGGGCCGCUGCACACUUCAGCCGUUUAGGCCUCGCAGCCCACUCCAGCGAACCACCAUUUUU
rnacentral:SRP_RNA from 1 species